UGGGGAAUAUUGGACAAUGGGCGCAAGACUGAUCCAGCCAUGCCGCGUGAGUGAUGAAGGCCUUAGGGUUGUAAAGCUCUUUCAGCGGGGAAGAUAAUGACGGUACCCACAGAAGAAGCCCCGGCUAACUCCGUGCCAGCAGCCGCGGUAAUACGGAGGGGGCUAGCGUUAGCCGGAAUUACUGGGCGUACAGCGCACGUAGGCGGGUCGUUAAGACAAGGGUGAAAUCCCGGGGCUCAACUCCGGAAG
rnacentral:rRNA from 1 species